CCCAGACUCCUACGGGAGGCAGCAGUGAGGAAUAUUGGUCAAUGGGCGGGAGCCUGAACCAGCCAAGUCGCGUGAGGGAAGAAGGUACUGAGUAUUGUAAACCUCUUUUGCCAGGGGACAAAGGCGGCCACGGGUGGCCGUAAGAGGGUACCUGGAGAAAAAGCAUCGGCUAACUCCGUGCCAGCAGCCGCGGUAAUACGUAGGGGGCAAGCGUUAUCCGGAUUUACUGGGUGUAAAGGGAGCGUAGGCGGUUUAGCAAGUCAGAAGUGAAAGCCCGGGGCUCAACUCCGGGACUGCUUUUGAGACUGUUGAACUAGAUUGCAGGAGAGGUAAGUGGAAUUCCUAGUGUAGCGGUGAAAUGCGUAGAUAUUAGGAGGAACACCAGUGGCGAAGGCGGCUUACUGGACUGUAAAUGACGCUAAGGCUCGAAAGCGUGGGGAGCAAACAGGAUUAGAUACCCUGGUA
rnacentral:rRNA from 1 species